UACGAAGGGGGCUAGCGUUGUUCGGAAUUACUGGGCGUAAAGCGCACGUAGGCGGGUCUGUAAGUAGAGGGUGAAAUCCCAGGGCUCAACCCUGGAACUGCCUUCUAGACUGCAGGCCUCGAGGUCAGGAGAGGCGAGUGGAAUACCGAGUGUAGAGGUGAAAUGCGUAGAUAUCUGGAGGAACACCGGUGGCGAAGGCGGCAUCCUGGACCGAUAUUGACGCUGAUGCGCGAAAGCCAGGGGAGCAAACGGG
rnacentral:rRNA from 1 species